CUUGUACCUGGAGGUGAGGUCACAGCUCCACCACAUCCAGGCCUCCUUUUUUACCGCUCUACCUCUCGGAGACUGAUAUUAUGAGCACCUGGAGGAAAGUCACCAGUUACAUUUUUGCUCAUCCUCUGCUUUCUGUAUCAACAGCCCUGGUUUCAGCUCAAACAUUUCCCUAGUAUAGGCUGGGAUCUUUGUGAGUGUUUGUCACCUUCCUUCUUUCAUCCAACUUCAGAACAGAUGAGAACUUUGCCAAGACUAUUUCAGGUUCAUAUCAGUUCUUUCAUUGUAUAUAUUUUUUCCCAAUUAGGUUAAUCAAAUUUUAUAAAA
ensembl:lincRNA